rnacentral:rRNA from 1 species
UACGUAGGGGGCAAGCGUUGUCCGGAAUCAUUGGGCGUAAAGAGCGUGUAGGCGGCUCGGUAAGUCCGCUCUGAAAGCCCGGGGCUCAACCCCGGGAGGCGGGCGGAUACUGUCGUGCUAGAGUCCGGAAGAGGCGAGUGGAAUUCCUGGUGUAGCGGUGAAAUGCGCAGAUAUCAGGAGGAACACCAAUGGCGAAGGCAGCUCGCUGGGACGGUACUGACGCUGAGACGCGAAAGCGUGGGGAGCAAACAGG